GGCGGCGUGCCUAACACAUGCAAGUCGAACGGGGAUUUGGUUCGGCAGAAUCCUAGUGGCGAACGGGUGAGUAACGCGUAGGCAACCUGCCCUCCGGCCGGGGACAACACUCCGAAAGGGGUGCUAAUACCGGAUACGAAGUCUGUGCCGCAUGGUACGGAUUUGAAAGAUGGCCUCUGUUUACAAGCUAUCGCCGGGGGAUGGGCCUGCGUCCGAUUAGCUGGUUGGUGGGGUAACGGCCUACCAAAGGCGACGAUCGGUAGCCGGUCUGAGAGGAUGAACGGCCACAUUGGGACUGAGACACGGCCCAGACUCCUGCGGGAGGCAGCAGUGGGGAAUCUUCCGCAAUGGGCGCAAGCCUGACGGAGCAACGCCGCGUGAGUGAGGAAGUUCUUCGGAACGUAAAGCUCUGUUGUUCCUGACGAACCUCCCUUCUAUCAACAACGGAAGGGACUGACGGUAGGGAACGAGGAAGCCACGGCUAACUACGUGCCAGCCGCGGC
rnacentral:rRNA from 1 species